ensembl:misc_RNA Y_RNA Y RNA
GGUUGGUCUGAGUGCAGGUGCAGUGGUGUUCACAACUCAUUGAUCACAACCAGUUAUAGAUUCCUUUGUUCCUUCUCCACUCCCACUGCUUCGCUUGACCGGCCUAAA